rnacentral:piRNA from 1 species
UAAAAGCAGGCACCGGGAGGAGAAUACA